UUGUCAACUAAAACUCAAUACACAAAACAGGUGGAGACCAACAACUUAGCCACAUGGACAACACUUCACACCAACUCACCCAACCGCUAUUCUCUUCCAUUUCGAAAGAUCUUUCACUUUCAUCAACUUCCCUAAUCACAUAACAACUCAACAACAAUGGAAACCUGUGAGAAUAACAACAAAAACUGGUCUAAUCUUCCAAAAGAUAUCUUACUCUUCAUCCUUCAACUACUCAACUCAAAGAUAGACCUUCCUCGAAUUUGAGGCGUUUGUUCUUCAUGGCGAUCACUUCUUCCUCCUCCCACCAUUACAUCUCGUAUUCAAAUUCCCAACAACAUUCCUCACUUAUUCUCUUCUUUAAACCUCGUUGAAAGCAGAUAUUACCUUAUAUCUCCUCAUUUUUCUUCUUCUUCUCCUAAACAAUGGCUGACAAAAAUGGUUGAAAUCGAACUUAAUACAUGGCAUCUCCUAAACCCACUUAAUCUCCAAGAUUUGUUCAUUACUUCUCCUCCUAUUUCAGGAACUAUUAACUUGUGUGAUACUCGUGUUGUAGAACUUUCUAGAUCAUUCUCACUUGUUAGUGAUGUAAGAGGAAAACCAGAAGUAGUGUCUGAAAAAGUUGUGGUAAAUAUUUAUUCUUUGAUGGUAUUAUUAGCUCUUCUUAAAGGAAGCUAAGACUGUUCUUUUGGAAGAUGGGUGAUGAAAGAUGGUUUGAAAUGGAAGAAUUGAGAAAUUACAAGUUUGUUGAUAUUGCUCAUAUGGAGGUAAAUUAUAUGCUUAUGAUUCUGAUGUUAGGAAACUUGUAGUGAUUGAUCCUAAUAAUACAUGGAAGAUGUUGUUCAUUGAUGGUCCGUUGCUUUUGGAUGAACUUUGUAAUGUGGAAAAUUUUUAUGGUUUCUACUUAGUAGCAGUGUCGAAUCGUGGUUUGUAUCUUGUUGUUAUGGUUUCUCCCAUGGAUAACAGGUUCUUUAUGCUUGUUUUUCUGCAGAAGGAAGAAGAUGGAGGUUCAGGUGAUGCCAAAAGCUAGGAGCAAGUGAAAAGUUUGGGGCGACGAGAUUUUCUUCAUAGGAACAGAUGCAUCAUUUUCCCUCCCCUUCGCCACGCAGCGAUUGCCGAGGUGCAAACCUGGUUCUAUUUGCUUGUUCAUCAAGCCUGCGCCAUUAAUUUUUGGUGGGUAUGAAGAAAAUAACAUGCCAGAAGGAGCUAAGUGUCUCAAGCGAAUAAAUUUCGCUGAAUAUUUCAGAUACUUUGAGAUGUUUGAUGUGGAGAAAAAGGAUGGUUUUAUGAUACCUUUCCAGGAGUUGUCAAAAGAAGUGUAUACAGGAAUAUAUUUUCCGCCACCAGCUUGGGUUAGAUGGUAUUGCCCUAGUCUUGGCAAUGUGGAAGUUAGAUUGGACAAUUUGCAGUAUCAUUGUGAAGAUGAUGAUGUUGAUUAUUACUAUUAAUAUUUAGAUGAGGAUGAUAACGAUUAAAAUCUUAUGUAACAUGUAUAUUUGUCACACUGGAGUACAUAUUAUAUAUCAUGAAUAUAGUCCACAUUAUGGAA